GUUCCGUGCAUUGCUCCAGGCACCACCUCCCGCAGCUCCCGUUGGCCGGGAACAGGGAACCGUGGCUAAUGGGAGUUUCGGGGGAGGUAUCUGGAGGCGUGGCAAGGGCAACACGUGGAACCCUGUGUCCCCCACUGCUCCCCAGGGACCGCGCAGGGACGUGGUGAGUGGCACGUCGUGGGGCCAGGGCAGGCAGCGAGGGAAUGCGCCGCUGCCACCCCGAGCUGCUUUAGGCUCUUUAUGCCUUCAUGGAGGGGAGUACUGUGCGACAUGCAGUAAUGAGAAGAUUUCACAAGAAGUAGGAUCCCAGUUGAAGACUUUGAAGUCACUAUCAAACACAAGAUGGGCAUGCAAAGCAGAAGCAGCGGCUGCUGUAAAACAAAACUACUCCAUCAUUUUACAGGCUUUAUAAGAGAUUAUCGAAACAACUCUCCUUGCUGACGCAAAAAUAAAAGCCAGGGGCCUUA